CGUGAGCGGCGGACGGGUGAGUAACGCUGGGUAACCUGCCUCAUACAGGGGGAUAACAGUUGGAAACGGCUGCUAAUACCGCAUAAGCGCACAGUACCGCAUGGUACGUGUGAAAAACUCCGGUGGUAUGAGAUGGACCCGCGUCUGAUUAGGUAGUUGGUGGGGUAACGGCCUACCAAGCCGACGAUCAGUAGCCGACCUGAGAGGGUGACCGGCCACAUUGGGACUGAGACACGGCCCAA
rnacentral:rRNA from 1 species